rnacentral:rRNA from 1 species
ACGGAAGGCAGCAGUGGGGAAUAUUGGACAAUGGAGGCAACUCUGAUCCAGCGACGCCGCGUGAGUGAAGAAGUAUUUCGGUAUGUAAAGCUCUAUCAGCAGGGAAGAUAAUGACGGUACCUGACUAAGAAGCCCCGGCUAACUACGUGCCAGCAGCCGCGGUAAUACGUAGGGGGCAAGCGUUAUCCGGAUUUACUGGGUGUAAAGGGAGCGUAGACGGUUUGGCAAGUCUGAAGUGAAAUGCGGGGGCUCAACUCCUGAACUGCUUUGGAAACUGUCGAACUAGAGUGCAGGAGAGGUAAGUGGAAUUCCUAGUGUAGCGGUGAAAUGCGUAGAUAUUAGGAGGAACACCAGUGGCGAAGGCGGCUUACUGGACUGUAACUGACGUUGAGGCUCGAAAGCGUGGGGAGCAAACAGGAUUAGAUACCCUGGUA